UCUAAAAUGACAGAAAAAUGUGUAAGAUUUAGGAUCUUAUUAUGAAGAGUACUUCUUCUUUUAGUA
rnacentral:tRNA from 1 species